rnacentral:rRNA from 1 species
GGCGGCCGUAACUAUAACGGUCCUAAGGUAGCGAAAUUCCUUGUCGGGUAAGUUCCGACCUGCACGAAUGGCGUAACGAUGGCCACACUGUCUCCUCCUGAGACUCAGCGAAGUUGAAAUGUUUGUGAAGAUGCAAUCUCCCCGCGGCAAGACGGAAAGACCCCGUGAACCUUUACUGUAGCCUGGCAUUGGAUCUUGGUGCAGCAUGUGUAGGAUAGGUGGGAGGCUGUGAAGCGGGGGCGCAAGCUUUCGUGGAGCCAUCCUUGAAAUACCACCCUUGCUCUACUGUGGUUCUAACCUAGACCUGUGAAACCAGGUCGGGGACAAUGUCAGGUGGGCAGUUUGACUGGGGCGGUCGCCUCCUAAAGUGUAACGGAGGCGCCCUAAGGUUCCCUCAGCACGGUCGGCAAUCGUGCGUUGAGUGCAAAGGCAUAAGGGAGCUUAACUGCGAGACCUACAAGUCAAGCAGGUGCGAAAGCAGGGCUUAGUGAUCCGGUGGUCCCGAGUGGAAGGGCCAUCGCUCAACGGAUAAAAGGUACUCCGGGGAUAACAGGCUUAUCUCCCCCAAGAGUCCACAUCGACGGGGAGGUUUGGCACCUCGAUGUCGGCUCAUCGCAUCCUGGGGCUGAAGCAGGUCCCAAGGGUUGGGCUGUUCGCCCAUUAAAGCGGUACGCGAGCUGGGUUUAGAACGUCGUGAGACAGUUCGGUCCCUAUCUGCUGCGGGCGCAGGAGAUUUGCGGGGAUCUGUCCCUAGUACGAGAGGACCGGGAUGGACGAACCUCUAGUGUGCCAGUUGUUCUGCCAAGGGCAUCGCUGGGUAGCUAUGUUCGGAAGGGAUAAACGCUGAAAGCAUCUAAGUGCGAAGCCCACCCCAAGAUGAGAUCUCCCGGGCGCAAGCUCCUAAAGACCCCUUGUAGAUCACAAGGUUGAUAGGCCAGAUGUGUAAGCGCAGGAAUGCGUUCAGCUUACUGGUACUAAUAGGUCGUGAGGCUUGACCCC